GGUCUCGUAGCUGAGUUGUUCAAGGCGUUGGCCGCACUAGGCUUUCCCUUUACUGGCGUGGGUUCGAAUCUCACCGAGGCCG
rnacentral:tRNA from 1 species